UGUUGUCAGCGAGUUCUCGGGUUCGCAUUUUGUGGUUGGUUCGGGGACCCUGUGUGUGAGGCUUGGCGGGAGAAGCCGGAGAGGGAAAGGAGCUUGAGCCCGGACAACGUGGGCAUUCUGAAGUCCGAGAUCCUCUGGAAGCGGCCGCUGGUGGAGGACCGGAUCCUGCUGGUGUGCUCUGGGACCCUUAGAUGAAGAACACGCAAAAUUCUGCUGAAGCAAAUAUUCUUGAAGGCACAAUUCUAAGAGUACAUAUUAUGAGGCUAAGAGCACUUCUUACCUUACUGAACUGUCCAACCACAUACUUCAGGAUAUUGGGAGGAGCAUCAUACAGAAAUGGCUCUAGGGCUGGGGUAUGUUUUGCAAUCUCUCUAAUCAAAGUGGAAGCAUUUUUCUUCACGUAUUCAUCUUUGUCCUUCAGGCAGGGUUCAGAAUCAUCCGGGCUAAGUGAGCAAUGGCUCCUGCGUCCACUACUGUCUGUGCUAACUCUGGAGAAUGCUCUGAAAUAUCACUGAGGACCGAAGCAGCAAUCCUUUUCAAAGCAAUUUCUGGCUCCUGGAUACAGAGUAUUAGAAGAGGAACUGCUCCCGCAUCCACCACAGCUUGUGACAGUUCUGUGGAUCCAGGGAAAGUAAUUGCAGGACAAUGCCCAACCAACUGAGCCACACCAGUCAGAGCUGUAGUUCCAGAAUAUUUUUAUCAACCCAACAAGGAACCCCAUAUGUGUUAAGUAGCCACUCCUCAUUCCCCUCUCCCCUAGCCCUGGGUAACCACUAAUCUGCUUCUGUCUCUGUGGAUUUUAUAUAUUGGGGAUAUUUCAUAUAAAUGGAAUCAUAUAAUAUAUAGCUUUUGUGUCUGGCUAAGCAUAACGUUUUCAAGGUUCAUCCAUGUUGUAGCAUUUAUCAUUACUUGAUCCUUUUUAUGGCUGAUAAUAUUCCACUGUAUGGACAUAUAACAUUUUGUUUAUCCUGUAAUGCUUUUGGCUAUUAUGAAUAAUGCUGCUAUGAACAUUUGUGUACAAGUUUUGUUUGAACACCUGUCUUCAGUCCUUUUGGAAACAUAACUAGAGCAGAAUUCCUAGGCCAUAUGGUAAUUAUGUUUAACUUACUGAGGAACCGCCAAGCCGUCGGAAGCAGCCGCACCAUUUCACACUUCUGCCAGCAAAGUACAAGGGGUCAAGCAUCUCCACAUCCUCAUUACCACUUGUUGUUUUCCUUUAUUUUUCUCUAUUAUUAUGGCCAACCCAGUAGGUAAUGUGCUAUCUCGUGGCUUUGAUUUGCAUUUCCUAAUGACUAAAGCUGUUGAACAUCUUUUCAUGUUUAUGGGCCACAGGUACAUCUUCCUUGAAUAAUUGUCUAUUCAAGUCCUUUGCCCAUUUUUAAUUGGAUUGUUUGUCCUUUGGUUACACAAGUAGGAAUGCAAUCUUAAAGAUUUGUCAAGAAAGAUAUAUCCCUAGUUAAGAUAAACUAACAGAAUGGAAUGAACAGUCCAAGACCCUACCUACAGGAAGGUCCUUUACUGCUAUUAGGUACUGGUAGGUGGCGUGUACAGAGACAUGGAGUGGGACCAGGCAGAAGGAGAAACGGAUAUUGGGGCACUCUUAGGUGACCCGUAAAAGGCCUGACAUCCUUGCAUACUGGUAAAAUGCUUUAUAAAACCUUCCAUUAAACAGUCUUCUCCCUUUUGGAUGCUUCUCUCCCCUUUGCUCCAAAGCAAUCUGUUAUAGUUGCCAUCAACCUGUAUAUAAUUUUACCUGUAUAUAAAGAUUUCUGUAAACAACUUUUUGUUUGCCCAAGGCUUUAUAUCCUAAGCCUUAGUCUAUAAUUUUAAUACUCUGAUACACAGAAAUACUGCUUUAUGUAUACCUCCAUUACAUUUUUAAAUCUGUUAAUACAAUAAUGGAAAAUAGCUGCAUACCAACCUCAAAGUAGAAUACCUUCCUGAUGCUAUGUUCAGUUUAGAGAAGUGAAGGUGUGUUAACAGCUUAAUAAUUCUAAGGCCUGUAACCUUGCAAAUGCAUCCAAACUAUCAAAAUUUUUAAGUGAAAAACAUAACAUUAAAAAAAUUCUUACAUUCUGUUCUGCCAAUGAAUAAACAAGCUGUGGAAGGAUGUCGCCCUUCACAACUGCUUCUGCUAGGUCAUCAUUAUAAUUAGCCAGUCUCCCAAGAGCCAAAACAGCAGUCUGUUGAAUUGUUGGGACCACAUCCAGAAGAAGAGGCCUCAGCAAAGACAUUACACCUGAAUUAAAUUAUGAAGGAACAGAAUUAGCAAAAUUUAAAUUUAAAAACAAACAUACAGUUCGGCACAUAAGCAAGUAAGAAAAUGAAGGGGAAACCAGCAAAAACAAAAAAUUAGCCACUAUAAACUAAUGGGAUAUUUAGAAGUAUAUAACUGUCCAAGACACAGAAUAAUAUAACCUAUAAUUAUCAAAGCAGCGUAGUGUGGAAAUGAGAACAGCUUUGGGUUUAGAGAAGAGUUUAAACCCCCGAUUUGUUAGAUACUAGCUAUGUGACCUGCCAGGGCUGCCACGACGAAUGUAAAGAAAGGUUGUGAAGCACAUAGUAUAAUGCCUGGCACUAUACUAUGUGCUAGGGAUUCCUCCCCCCGCCCCUCCCCUUUGAAAAUCCUAUCUUUCAGGGCUCAGCUCAGAUCCUUCCCUCUCAAUGAAGUCUUUCUUUCUUUCUUUUUUUCUCUGAUUCCAAAUGAAAGAGUUUAUUACAGAAAUUUUGUCAGGAUCUAUCUCAGAACCAGAGGAGCUUGCAGUGCCAUUUGUCCAGGCUGCCUUCAUGAAGGGCUGCAAAUCAGAAUUCUGACAUUAUCUCCAAAUAAGUAAAUUAUUUGAUAUAAAAAAGUAUAUCAGCUCUCGUAAAAUUCAUUUGAGGGUUGAAUGGGUAGUAGGUAUCUCAUCCUCACAACAAUGAUAAAAGUAGCUUAUAUUUAUGGAGCAUUUAUAUGCAUGCAUUGUUUUAAGAAUUUGUUUUGCAUAUUAUUAAUUUACUGAACUUUCAUGACAAACCUAUGAUGCGGGCCCUAUUAUUAUGUCUAUUUUACAGAUGAGGAAAUUGAGGCUGAGAAAGCUUAAAAAUUUUGUCACACAAUUAAUAAAUGGUGGAGCAAGGUUAGAAAUUCUGACAUUCUUGCCCUGACCAGUGUGGCUCAAUUGGUUGGGCAUCAUCUCGCAAUCGAAAGGGUGCUGGUUCUAUCCCAGGUCAGGGUACAUGCCUGGGUUGCAGGCCUGGUCCCUGGUUGGGGCAGUUGCAAGAGGUGACCGAUUGAUGUUCCUCUCCCUUUCUUUCUCCCUACCUUUCUCUCUCU